AUUGAACGCUGGCGGCAGGCCUAACACAUGCAAGUCGAGCGGAGCGGCGGACGGGUGAGUAAUGACUAGGAAUCUGCCUGGUAGUGGGGGAUAACUACCGGAAAUGGGCGCUAAUACCGCAUACUCUCAACUGGGCCUAGGUCGGAUUAGAUAGUUGGUGGGGUAAAGGCUUACCAAGGCGACGAUCCGUACCUGGUCUGAGAGGAUGAUCAGUCACACUGGAACUGAGACACGGUCCAGACUCCUACGGGAGGCAGCAGUGGGGAAUAUUGGACAAUGGGCGAAAGCCUGAUCCAGCCAUGCCGCGUGUGUGAAGAAGGUCUUCGGAUUGUAAAGCACUUUAAGUUGGGAGGCGUUACCAACAGAAUAAGCACCGGCUAACUUCGUGCCAGCAGCCGCGGUAAUAC
rnacentral:rRNA from 1 species